rnacentral:rRNA from 1 species
GACGAACGCUGGCGGCGUGCUUAACACAUGCAAGUCGAACGGUAAGGCCCUUCGGGGUACACGAGUGGCGAACGGGUGAGUAACACGUGGGUGAUCUGCCCUGCACUUCGGGAUAAGCCUGGGAAACUGGGUCUAAUACCGGAUAGGACCACUGCCUGCAUGGGUGGUGGUGGAAAGCUUUUGCGGUGUGGGAUGGGCCCGCGGCCUAUCAGCUUGUUGGUGGGGUGGUGGCCUACCAAGGCGACGACGGGUAGCCGGCCUGAGAGGGUGACCGGCCACACUGGGAGUGGGGUACGGCCCAGACUCCUACGGGAGGCAGCAGUGGGGAAUAUUGCACAAUGGGCGCAAGCCUGAUGCAGCGACGCCGCGUGAGGGAGGACGGCCUUCGGGUUGUAAACCUCUUUCAGCACCGACGAAGCGCAAGUGACGGUAGGUGCAGAAGAAGGACCGGCCAACUACGUGCCAGCCGCCGCCGUAA